GGGUUGUGAGGUUAAGCGACUAAGCGUACACGGUGGAUGCCCUGGCAGUCAGAGGCGAUGAAGGGCGUGCUAAUCUGCGAUAAGCGCCGGUAAGGUGAUAUGAACCGUUAUAACCGGCGAUACCCGAAUGGGGAAACCCAGUGUGAUUCGUCACACUAUCAUUAACUGAAUCCAUAGGUUAAUGAGGCGAACCGGGGGAACUGAAACAUCUAAGUACCCCGAGGAAAAGAAAUCAACCGAGAUUCCCCCAGUAGCGGCGAGCGAACGGGGAGGAGCCCAGAGCCUGAAUCAGCAUGUGUGUUAGUGGAAGCGUCUGGAAAGGCGCGCGAUACAGGGUGACAGCCCCGUACACAAAAGCGCAUGUGCUGUGAGCUCGAUGAGUAGGGCGGGACACGUGGUAUCCUGUCUGAAUAUGGGGGGACCAUCCUCCAAGGCUAAAUACUCCUGACUGACCGAUAGUGAACCAGUACCGUGAGGGAAAGGCGAAAAGAACCCCGGCGAGGGGAGUGAAAAAGAACCUGAAACCGUGUACGUACAAGCAGUGGGAGCACAGGUUUACCUGUGUGACUGCGUACCUUUUGUAUAAUGGGUCAGCGACUUAUAUUCUGUAGCAAGGUUAACCGAAUAGGGGAGCCGGAGGGAAACCGAGUCUUAAUUGGGCGUUAAGUUGCAGGGUAUAGACCCGAAACCCGGUGAUCUAGCCAUGGGCAGGUUGAAGGUUGGGUAACACUAACUGGAGGACCGAACCGACUAAUGUUGAAAAAUUAGCGGAUGACCUGUGGCUGGGGGUGAAAGGCCAAUCAAACCGGGAGAUAGCUGGUUCUCCCCGAAAGCUAUUUAGGUAGCGCCUCGUGAAUUCAUCUCCGGGGGUAGAGCACUGUUUCGGCUAGGGGGCCAUCCCGGCUUACCAACCCGAUGCAAACUGCGAAUACCGGAGAAUGUUAUCACGGGAGACACACGGCGGGUGCUAACGUCCGUCGUGAAGAGGGAAACAACCCAGACCGCCAGCUAAGGUCCCAAAGUCAUGGUUAAGUGGGAAACGAUGUGGGAAGGCCCAGACAGCCAGGAUGUUGGCUUAGAAGCAGCCAUCAUUUAAAGAAAGCGUAAUAGCUCACUGGUCGAGUCGGCCUGCGCGGAAGAUGUAACGGGGCUAAACCAUGCACCGAAGCUGCGGCAGCGAACGUAUCACCCAAGACAACUUUACGGAGUUGACGAUUGACGGAGCGAAGCGACGUCAAAGCGUUCAUUAAAGUCGAGUUGGCUUAGGGAUACGUUCGUUGGGUAGGGGAGCGUUCUGUAAGCCUGCGAAGGUGGCCUGUGAGGGUUGCUGGAGGUAUCAGAAGUGCGAAUGCUGACAUAAGUAACGAUAAAGCGGGUGAAAAGCCCGCUCGCCGGAAGACCAAGGGUUCCUGUCCAACGUUAAUCGGGGCAGGGUGAGUCGACCCCUAAGGCGAGGCCGAAAGGCGUAGUCGAUGGGAAACGGGUUAAUAUUCCCGUACUUGGUGUUACUGCGAAGGGGGGACGGAGAAGGCUAUGUUGGCCGGGCGACGGUUGUCCCGGUUUAAGCGUGUAGGUGUGUGUUCCAGGUAAAUCCGGUUCACUUUAACACUGAGGCGUGACGACGAGGCACUACGGUGCUGAAGCAACAAAUGCCCUGCUUCCAGGAAAAGCCUCUAAGCAUCAGGUAACAUCAAAUCGUACCCCAAACCGACACAGGUGGUCAGGUAGAGAAUACCAAGGCGCUUGAGAGAACUCGGGUGAAGGAACUAGGCAAAAUGGUGCCGUAACUUCGGGAGAAGGCACGCUGACACGUAGGUGAAGUGAUUUACUCAUGGAGCUGAAGUCAGUCGAAGAUACCAGCUGGCUGCAACUGUUUAUUAAAAACACAGCACUGUGCAAACACGAAAGUGGACGUAUACGGUGUGACGCCUGCCCGGUGCCGGAAGGUUAAUUGAUGGGGUCAGCGCAAGCGAAGCUCCUGAUCGAAGCCCCGGUAAACGGCGGCCGUAACUAUAACGGUCCUAAGGUAGCGAAAUUCCUUGUCGGGUAAGUUCCGACCUGCACGAAUGGCGUAAUGAUGGCCAGGCUGUCUCCACCCGAGACUCAGUGAAAUUGAACUCGCUGUGAAGAUGCAGUGUACCCGCGGCAAGACGGAAAGACCCCGUGAACCUUUACUAUAGCUUGACACUGAACAUUGAGCCUUGAUGUGUAGGAUAGGUGGGAGGCUUUGAAGUGUGGACGCCAGUCUGCAUGGAGCCGACCUUGAAAUACCACCCUUUAAUGUUUGAUGUUCUAACGUGGACCCGUAAUCCGGGUUGCGGACAGUGUCUGGUGGGUAGUUUGACUGGGGCGGUCUCCUCCUAAAGAGUAACGGAGGAGCACGAAGGUUGGCUAAUCCUGGUCGGACAUCAGGAGGUUAGUGCAAUGGCAUAAGCCAGCUUGACUGCGAGCGUGACGGCGCGAGCAGGUGCGAAAGCAGGUCAUAGUGAUCCGGUGGUUCUGAAUGGAAGGGCCAUCGCUCAACGGAUAAAAGGUACUCCGGGGAUAACAGGCUGAUACCGCCCAAGAGUUCAUAUCGACGGCGGUGUUUGGCACCUCGAUGUCGGCUCAUCACAUCCUGGGGCUGAAGUAGGUCCCAAGGGUAUGGCUGUUCGCCAUUUAAAGUGGUACGCGAGCUGGGUUUAGAACGUCGUGAGACAGUUCGGUCCCUAUCUGCCGUGGGCGCUGGAGAACUGAGGGGGGCUGCUCCUAGUACGAGAGGACCGGAGUGGACGCAUCACUGGUGUUCGGGUUGUCAUGCCAAUGGCACUGCCCGGUAGCUAAAUGCGGAAGAGAUAAGUGCUGAAAGCAUCUAAGCACGAAACUUGCCCCGAGAUGAGUUCUCCCUGAGACUUAGAGUCUCCUGAAGGAACGUUGAAGACGACGACGUUGAUAGGCCGGGUGUGUAAGCGCAGCGAUGCGUUGAGCUAACCGGUACUAAUGAACCGUGAGGCUUAACCUUACAACGCCGAAG
rnacentral:rRNA from 2 species